CUAAAUAUUACAAUAUCACUCUGCAAAAAAAUCUUGAGGAGGAACUCCUGACAUUCGUUGAUUUACCAUAGUAGUCCCGUUCCCGCGUGAAAAAUGAAUUUCGGCCAGAAUUGCGACAGUCAAUUCACAUACGGUACUAAUAAAUGCCCAGUAUAGUAUGGAUCACACAUGAUAGCAAAUGGUAUGGGCAGAUCUUAAGUCAAAGACAAAGAAAAACGCCUUUAUGUGCAAUAAAACUGUUACUGAUCCGGAUACAGGCAACCCAGCCAGUGCCUAACGUCCUUGGACUAAAUAUGAUGAGAGGGUGCUGGCCUUAGUAACAAGAGAUAAGAGUCCUGUUAAUGAAGUUGAAUAUGUGUUCGACUCUGCUUCACACUUUGAGUUGCCGGAAUAUGUCACUGACAGCCAAGACAAUGUCGUCUUUAUGAAAGUUAACAGAGGUAAGUAACAGAGGUACCUCAGCGCGUCUCUGUCCUCUUUGAUGCCGAUGCGUAUAAACAUUUCCGCUAUGUCAGCCGUUACCGCCACGCGAUGUUGUCGAAAUCUUAUCAGUGUCCCGGGGAGCGGCUGCAGCAAAUCUGGCCCGGUGAGAAGGUAGUCAUUUAGGGCGACUCCCUUCGUCUUCGCUGCAGCAUCGUGAACUAUCCGGACUUUCCCCGGUUUCCUCGGAUUAAG